UACGAAGGGAGCUAGCGUUGUUCGGAAUUACUGGGCGUAAAGGGCGCGUAGGCGGCUUGGCAAGUUGGAUGUGAAAGCCCAGGGCUCAACCCUGGAAUUGCAUUCAAGACUGCCUUGCUUGAAUUCGGUAGAGGUUGGUGGAAUUCCCAGUGUAGAGGUGAAAUUCGUAGAGAUUGGGAAGAACACCCGUGGCGAAGGCGGCCAACUGGACCGACAUUGACGCUGAGGCGCGAAAGCGUGGGGAGCAAACAGG
rnacentral:rRNA from 1 species